rnacentral:rRNA from 1 species
UACGUAGGGCGCAAGCGUUGUCCGGAAUUAUUGGGCGUAAAGAGCUCGUAGGUGGUUUGUCGCGUCUGCUGUGAAAACUCAGGGCUUAGCCCUGAGCUUGCAGUGGGUACGGGCAGACUAGAGUGCGGUAGGGGAGACUGGAAUUCCUGGUGUAGCGGUGAAAUGCGCAGAUAUCAGGAGGAACACCGGUGGCGAAGGCGGGUCUCUGGGCCGUAACUGACGCUGAGGAGCGAAAGCAUGGGGAGCGAACAGG